rnacentral:rRNA from 1 species
UACGAAGGGGGCUAGCGUUGCUCGGAAUUACUGGGCGUAAAGCGCGCGCAGGCGGUUAGUCGCAUCGGCGGUGAAAGCCCCCCGCUUAACGGGGGAGGGUCCGUCGAGAUGGACUGACUGGAGGCAGGGAGAGGGCGGUGGAAUUCCGGGUGUAGUGGUGAAAUGCGUAGAGAUCCGGAGGAACACCAGUGGCGAAGGCGGCCGCCUGGACCUGACCUG